rnacentral:rRNA from 1 species
ACGGAAGGCAGCAGUGGGGAAUAUUGCACAAUGGGGGAAACCCUGAUGCAGCGACGCCGCGUGAGUGAAGAAGUAUUUCGGUAUGUAAAGCUCUAUCAGCAGGGGAGAUAAUGACGGUACCUGACUAAGAAGCCCCGGCUAACUACGUGCCAGCAGCCGCGGUAAUACGUAGGGGGCAAGCGUUAUCCGGAUUUACUGGGUGUAAAGGGAGCGUAGACGGCAAGGCAAGUCUGAUGUGAAAACCCAGGGCUCAACCGUGGGACUGCAUUGGAAACUGUCUAGCUAGAGUGCAGGAGAGGUAAGUGGAAUUCCUAGUGUAGCGGUGAAAUGCGUAGAUAUUAGGAGGAACACCAGUGGCGAAGGCGGCUUACUGGACGGUAACUGACGUUGAGGCUCGAAAGCGUGGGGAGCAAACAGGAUUAGAUACCCUGGUA